UAACGCGUGGGUAACCUGCCUCAUACAGGGGGAUAACAGUUAGAAAUGACUGCUAAUACCGCAUAAGCGCACGGGACUGCAUGGUCCAGUGUGAAAAGCUCCGGUGGUAUGAGAUGGACCCGCGUCUGAUUAGCUAGUUGGUGAGGUAACGGCCCACCAAGGCGACGAUCAGUAGCCGACCUGAGAGGGUGACCGGCCACAUUGGGACUGAGACACGGCCCAA
rnacentral:rRNA from 1 species